rnacentral:sRNA from 1 species
GAGAGCUUACAGUACAGUCAGCGAGAUGAGGCAGGUAUGAAGAUUCCAGUGCAUGCAAUGCAGUGUGUUAUAAAAGUCCCAUGACUACCAGAGGGAAUACAGAUGUAAAACUUAGCAGGAAAAGAAAUCACUCUGGAUGAGCCAGUCAGGCGACAGCCCUGUACUGUGUCUGAAAUUUUCCAUUUUUCUUGGGUGCUUUUUAUAUAUGCAAAAGGUAAUUUCCCCAUGAUUAGUGAUGAUUUGGUCAAUUCUUAUCACCUGCUGCUGUGUGCUUUGGACUUAGUUUAUGGAAAUGCACUUCAGUGUUCUAAUCGUAAAGAACUUGUGAACCCUAAUUUUAAAGGCCUAUCUGAAGAUUUUCAUGCUAAAGAUUCUAAACCUUCCUCUGACCCGCCUUGUAUCAUUGAGAAACUGUGUUCCUUACAUGAUGGCCUAGUUUUGGAAGCAAAGGGGAUAAAGGAACAUUUCUGGAAACCCUAUAUUAGGAAACUUUAUGAAAAAAAGCUCCUUAAGGGAAAAGAAGAAAAUCUCACUGGGUUUCUAGAACCUGGGAACUUUGGAGAGAGUUUAUGGAGUCUCGCUGUGUUGCCCAGGCUGGAAUGCAGUUUUUGAGAUGGAGUCUCGCUGUGUUGCCCAGGCUGGAAUGCAGUGGCGUGAUCUCGGCUCAUUGCAACCUCUGCCUCCCGAGUUCAAGCGAUUCUUCUGCCUCAGCCUCCUGAGUAGCUGUGAAUACAGUAAAGCCAUCAAUAAGGCCUAUGAGGAGUAUGUUUUAUCUGUUGGGAAUUUAGAUGAGCGGAUAUUUCUUGGAGAGGAUGCUGAGGAGGAAAUUGGGACUCUCUCAAGGUGUCUGAAUGCUGGUUCAGGAACAGAGACUGCUGAAAGGGUGCAGAUGAAAAACAUCUUACAGCAGCAUUUUGACAAGUCCAAAGCACUUAGAAUCUCCACACCACUAACUGGUGUUAGGUACAUUAAGGAGAAUAGCCCUUGUGUGACCCCAGUUUCUACAGCUACGCAUAGCUUGAGUCGUCUUCACACCAUGCUGACAGGCCUCAGGAAUGCACCAAGUGAGAAAUUGGAACAGAUUCUCAGGACAUGUUCCAGAGAUCCAACCCAGGCUAUUGCUAACAGACUGAAAGAAAUGUUUGAAAUAUAUUCUCAGCAUUUCCAGCCAGAUGAGGAUUUCAGUAAUUGUGCUAAAGAAAUUGCCAGCAAACAUUUUCGUUUUGCGGAGAUGCUUUACUAUAAAGUAUUAGAAUCUGUUAUUGAGCAGGAACAAAAAAGACUAGGAGACAUGGAUUUAUCUGGUAUUCUGGAACAAGAUGCGUUCCACAGAUCUCUCUUGGCCUGCUGCCUUGAGGUCGUCACUUUUUCUUAUAAGCCUCCUGGGAAUUUUCCAUUUAUUACUGAAAUAUUUGAUGUGCCUCUUUAUCAUUUUUAUAAGGUGAUAGAAGUAUUCAUUAGAGCAGAAGAUGGCCUUUGUAGAGAGGUGGUAAAACACCUUAAUCAGAUUGAAGAACAGAUCUUAGAUCAUUUGGCAUGGAAACCAGAGUCUCCACUCUGGGAAAAAAUUAGAGACAAUGAAAACAGAGUUCCUACAUGUGAAGAGGUCAUGCCACCUCAGAACCUGGAAAGGGCAGAUGAAAUUUGCAUUGCUGGCUCCCCUUUGACUCCCAGAAGGGUGACUGAAGUUCGUGCUGAUACUGGAGGACUUGGAAGGAGCAUAACAUCUCCAGCCACAUUAUACGAUAGGUACAGCUCCCCACCAGCCAGCACUACCAGAAGGCGGCUAUUUGUUGAGAAUGAUAGCCCCUCUGAUGGAGGGACACCUGGGCGCAUGCCCCCACAGCCCCUAGUCAAUGCUGUCCCUGUGCAGAAUGUAUCUGGGGAGACUGUUUCUGUCACACCAGUUCCUGGACAGACUUUGGUCACCAUGGCAACCGCCACUGUCACAGCCAACAAUGGGCAAACGGUAACCAUUCCUGUGCAAGGUAUUGCCAAUGAAAAUGGAGGGAUAACAUUCUUCCCUGUCCAAGUCAAUGUUGGGGGGCAGGCACAAGCUGUGACAGGCUCCAUCCAGCCCCUCAAUGCUCAGGCCCUGGCUGGAAGUCUGAGCUCUCAACAGGUGACAGGAACAACUUUGCAAGUCCCUGGUCAAGUGGCAAUUCAACAGAUUUCCCCAGGUGGCCAACAGCAGAAGCAAGGCCAGUCUGUAACCAGCAGUAGUAAUAGACCCAGGAAGACCAGCUCUUUAUCGCUUUUCUUUAGAAAGGUAUACCAUUUAGCAGCUGUCCGCCUUCGGGAUCUCUGUGCCAAACUAGAUAUUUCAGAUGAACUGAGGAAAAAAAUCUGGACCUGCUUUGAAUUCUCCAUAAUUCAGUGUCCUGAACUUAUGAUGGACAGACAUCUGGACCAGUUAUUAAUGUGUGCCAUUUAUGUGAUGGCAAAGGUCACAAAAGAAGAUAAGUCCUUCCAGAACAUUAUGCGUUGUUACAGGACUCAGCCACAGGCCCGGAGCCAGGUGUAUAGAAGUGUUUUGAUAAAAGGGAAAAGAAAAAGAAGAAAUUCUGGCAGCAGUGAUAGCAGAAGCCAUCAGAAUUCUCCAACAGAACUAAACAAAGAUAGAACCAGUAGAGACUCCAGUCCAGUCAUGAGGUCAAGCAGCACCUUGCCAGUUCCACAGCCCAGCAGUGCUCCUCCCACACCUACUCGCCUCACAGGUGCCAACAGUGACAUGGAAGAAGAGGAGAGGGGAGACCUCAUUCAGUUCUACAACAACAUCUACAUCAAACAGAUUAAGACAUUUGCCAUGAAGUACUCACAGGCAAAUAUGGAUGCUCCUCCACUCUCUCCCUAUCCAUUUGUAAGAACAGGCUCCCCUCGCCGAAUACAGUUGUCUCAAAAUCAUCCUGUCUACAUUUCCCCACAUAAAAAUGAAACAAUGCUUUCUCCUCGAGAAAAGAUUUUCUAUUACUUCAGCAACAGUCCUUCAAAGAGACUGAGAGAAAUUAAUAGUAUGAUACGCACAGGAGAAACUCCUACUAAAAAGAGAGGAAUUCUUUUGGAAGAUGGAAGUGAAUCACCUGCAAAAAGAAUUUGCCCAGAAAAUCAUUCUGCCUUAUUACGCCGUCUCCAAGAUGUAGCUAAUGACCGUGGUUCCCACUGAGGUUAGUCUCUUGUAUUGAAACUUUUCACAAAAUCUGUUUAGUAGCAGCCUUUAAUGCAUCUAGAUUAUGGAGCUUUUUUCCUUAAUCCAGCUGAUCAUUUACAGCCUGUUAGUAACAUGAGGGGACAUUUUGGUGAGAAAUGGGACUUAACUCCUUCCAGUGUCCUUAGAACAUUUUAAUUCAUCCCAACUGUCUUUUUCUCCCCUACCAUUCAGUGAUUACUGUCAAGGCUGCUUAGAAUCCAAACUUGGAUUUUUGACUCUGGCAAAGCUUUUAGAAAUACUGCAAGAAAAUGAUGUGUACCCAAACGUGAGCAUAGGAGGCUUCUGUUGACGUACUCCAACAGAAGAAGUGUGUUUCAAGUUCAGUCCUACCUGUUUUGUGGUCAGCAAUCCUCAUAAAAAGCAAAACAAAAAUUAGGUAUUUCGUCCUAAAACACCUGGUAGGAGUGUGAUUUUUGCAUUCCUGACAAAGGAGAGCGCACCCAGGUUUGGAGGUCCUAGGUCAUUAGCCCUCAUCUCCCAUUCCCUUUGUGCAUGUCUUCCCUCUCCCCAUUCGGUGUGGUGCAGUGUGAAAAGUCCUUGAUUGUUCGGGUGUGCAAUGUCUGAGUGAACCUGUAUAAGUGGCGGCACUUUAGGGCUGUAAAAUGCAUGAUUUUGUAAUCCAGAUUUUGCUGUAUAUUUGUGAUAGCACUUUCUACAAUGUGAACUUUAUUAAGUACAAAACUUCCAGGCUAAACAUCCAAUAUUUUCUUUAAUGCUUUUAUACUUUUUUAAAUUGUUAAAGCCCCUACAGCCACCUUUUGGGAAUGUUUUAAAUUCUCCAGUUUUUUGUUAUAUAGGGAUCAACCGGCUAAGAAAAGAUUUUAAAUCAAGUUGAAUUGAGGGGAUUAAUAUGAAAACUUAUGACCUCUUCCUUUAGGAGGGAGUUAUCUAAAAGAAAUGUCUAUUAAGGUGAUAUAUUUAAAAAUAUUUUUGAGUGUUCCUGGCAGUUUAAAAAAAUUGGUUGGAGAAUUUAGGUUUUUAUUAGUACCAUAGUACCAUUUAUACAAAAUUAGAAAAUGUUAUUUAACAGCUGUUGAAUUAUCUAUACAUAUCUUUAUUAAUCACUAUUGUUCCAGCAGUUUUCAAGUCAAAUUAAUAAUCUUAUUAGGGAGAAAAUGCAAUUGUAAAUUGAAUCAGUAUAAACAAAGUUACUAGGUAACUUCAUAUUGCUCUGAGAGAAAUAUGGAACUUACACUGUUCAAUUAGAAUAGUGUUCUGCAAAAAUAUUUAUAAAACCUCUCAAGAUACUUACUGCUACUGUAAUUUUAUAUGAAGAUAAGUGUAUUUUUCAAUAAAGCAUUUAUAAAUUA